ensembl:lncRNA
UACAGACUGCUGCCAUGCCGGCUGGCUAGGUCACUCUGCGGCUCUCUCUGUUCCAUGGUUUGCCUGGAUUAGAGGACUGACUCGUUGCAUGAGUACUUUCCUAUUAGAACAUCUGUUCAUCAAACUUGGUCUGACUCCUUUGAGAUACCAGUAAUAGUUCACGGAGGGGAGAGAUGGGAAAUACCUUCUGACAAGAAUUAUGAAAUUGAAGACCCAGUAUAUACAUUCAGUGCCAGUUAGAAACAGAAACAAUAUUGAGUACAAAAAUGAAACAUAUACAAUUUCUAGUUCUUAAUCAUUCUUAAAAAUAGUGCUGUGUGAUUUAAAAUGUGUCAUCUUUACCCAAAGGAAUGGAGUGGUAGAGGAGAAUCACCUUUUUACAGUAGACAUCACUGAGUCCCCACUUCACUCUCUUGUCAAGAAUUUCAUUUCUCCUCCUGUUUCUGAGUCAUAAUCUCUCAUUAUUUAUCCAUACUCCCUGCUGGACAGACCAGAGAGUGGAUGUUUUGGCUUGAUUUCCAUGGUCACAUGUGAUAAAGCUGCCUAAAAAUGCUUUAGCUUUAUCUGGAUUGAAACCAGAUCUUGGCUACAUCAUGGAUACUUGAAAUAGAGAAAAUUAGAAAAGAGAUGGGUGACAUCAUCAUCAGUUGGAUUAUAUUUCCAGCUACAUCUAUCUACUAUAGAGCUGCAACUUUAGUAUGAUCUUCUUGGGGAUAGGUCAUCCAACCACAAUGCUAAUUUCUCACCAUAGAUGAUAAAAGAUUCUGGAAAGAGAAGUAGAAUGUGUUUGCUUUGGACAAUUCUACUGUUAACUAGUUUCCCAUUUUUGAGACUAAUCUGUUACUGGGUUUUACAUUGAGUUAAUAUUAAAGUUUGGUUCCUUGUCUUGGUUCAUCACAGGGAUAUAUCUCUAUUAGGCACUUAGGACACCACAGUGCAUCUCUAAGAGGAAGAAAAGCAUUUUUCAGCAAACUGUCUCAUUCUUCAGAAUUAUUUCCUUUGCACUUUGCAUGUGAAUUAGCAAAGCAGAUAAAGUCUGCCUCUAAAAUCCAUCAUCUUUGAAAUCCCACACGUUUCCCUGAUUGUUUUGUGCAGCAGAGUGAGAAACAAAAGUCUGCAUUUCCCAGGACAGUCAUUUAGCUUUGGAAUACAAUACUAUUCUCAAAGGCAGAGUUUAUGACUUUGUAAGAGUUAAUAAAAACAGUUCUGAAAGGGAGAUAUAGGGAUAUUAAAUUCUGAAAUAUUCUAAAUAUAUGUGCAUAUGUAUAUAGUUGUAUUCCUAUGGAAGUAUCCAUAACUUUCAUCACACACUUCCAGGAAUAGAUGACACAAAAAUGUAGAGCUGUUGCUUUGAAAUUUGAGUUCUUUUAUAACCUCAAAGGAUCACAUUGAAUCUAAACAUUUUAUUAGGGAAAUCUGUCAUGAACUAUGAAAUAACUAAACCUACUCUUACCUAGUACUGUUAUAAAAUUAAAUAAUUCAUGUGACAUUUCAUUAGACAUAAAAGCUUUCAAGUGAACAACAGGAUAUUUUGAUCCCUAAUCAAAAUAUAAUGUUUGCUAUAAAAUGUGCCAUGUGUGAAAGCCUCAUCUUUGAUGUUGCAUAUGUACACCUCAGUAUUAUGUGAAAUUCAUCUUUACCUUUUGCAUUUUCUCUGGAGCCUUCUUCUAAUCUUAACAAUUAUCUUAUAUUCUAUAAAAAUAGACAAA